rnacentral:tRNA from 1 species
GGUCGGGUGGCAGAGUGGUCGAAUGCACCGGUCUUGAAAACCGGCGAUGGGAAACCAUCCGUGGGUUCGAAUCCCACCCCGACCGC